UACAGAGGGUGCGAGCGUUAAUCGGAAUUACUGGGCGUAAAGCGCACGUAGGCGGCAUUGCAAGUCGGAUGUGAAAUCCCUCGGCUUAACCAAGGAAGUGCAUCCGAAACUGCAGUGCUUGAGUACUUAAGAGGAUCGCGGAAUUCCCGGUGUAGAGGUGAAAUUCGUAGAUAUCGGGAGGAACACCAGUGGCGAAGGCGGCGAUCUGGGAAGAUACUGACGCUGAGGUGCGAAAGCGUGGGGAGCAAACAGG
rnacentral:rRNA from 1 species